UUGGCCCGUGGAACAUAUUACACAUGCAUCUGACUUCAAGAUUCAGUCAUUGGUUCUUCAAAUAUAUUUUUUUCAAGUCCCAAAUGGCUGUUGGACCUCAUCCUGAGAACAUCAGUGAGAAAAAGAAGUUACAUAUUGAUGGGGGAAGACAACAAUGCAUAAGAUCAAAACAUUUCACCAUAUAUUUGGAGCCCGAUUCUAAUGACUGGUGUUAUACUUGUCUUGAACUGGGUAAUGGCAUCUGCUUGUUUGAACAAUUCAAAAGUUUGAGUCCAGAAGUUUGGCUUUGGAAGCUCUUUAAAUGUUAAUUCUUCCCUGGAAAGUGUCCUGAGCUUUGAAGACAACCAUUAUCACCCAGCUAUUUCUAUUGGUAGAAAUGAGCAGCCUGAGAUGUUCUCCAGUUACUCUCCAGGAACAAUGGGAGGACUCAAGCGAGUCACUGAUGAGGAAUAACAUCAGAUGGCCACAUCUUCAUCCACCCACUCUCGAAACUUGCAGGCGCAUACUUCAGGGUUUCCCCGAAUAUGAUCUGGUGAAACGGAUAACCUCCAGUUUACCCCUGAAGGACGUCGGCUGUAGAAAGGGAAGAUUCCUGCCACUUGUCAGCAGACUUGGCUCUCAGUAAACAUUUGACGUUUAUGAAAAUCUAACUGUCCUGUCAGAGAGUGAUUUCUGCAUUUGGCAUUUGAAAGACUAUGAAGGAGGCUUGAGUGGCAGUGCGACCAUGUUCCUGAGCACAGGACAGCUUUGCAAGGAUACUGCUUGGAAGUGGACUGCAUAGGCAUUUUAGGUCUAUGGAGAAGAGGGCAACACCUUCCAAAAGGUUAUUAAAUAAUACAUGAAGACAACGGCUCAUGAAAUAUAGACAGUUCUGAGGUUUGUGUACAAGUGACAUAGAAGCAUGGGGUGAGACAUGGGAGAGUCCUUCUCAUUGACUUGAUAUGUGGCCAUCUUCUGGGACAUGCCAGCCUUGGAGAGGAAGAAGAGCCAGAAUACUACAAGCCUCAAACACAUGCAUUCGAGCAGAUUGAGAUCAGAUUGCUGGGGGACAAUAAAGAUGGAUAAAGCUAAGCCUGGCCUAAAUCGGCAUUUCAAGAUUCAUGGGGUGGACAAAGGGUGCUGUUAUUUAUGAUGGAGAGGAAGGAGGAGAAGCAUCUCUUGUGAAUCGCUAGGCAGGUGUUUGCUCUCUGGGGAAGUGAUAGGAAACUCAUCCCUGACCUGAGGUUACUUGGAGGAAAGAACUUCUUUUGGUUUUGUUUCUCUGCUUGGUGUACAAGCCAGUGCCUUAUCUAAGGAAAAAGAAAGCAUCCCUGGAUGUCCCCAAGGGAAGAAUGAUCACUCUAUUAGGGAAUUAAGGUCAUCUAGAGAUCCUGUUUCCUAUUGCACAUGAAUAUGGAAUCCGGUAACAGAAUAAACAUGACAUUUGGAAUGCUCCUAGAGCAUACUUAGGGCAACUGGCAAGACUGACAUAGCUUUUACUGAUUUGUCUGUUUAGUGAGUGGACAGGAUGCCAGUCUGGCAGUUUGAAUUGGCAAUAAAUCACUACUAGACAUUUUAUUUAAAAUCUGGCACUGGCUUGGGAGAGGUGAGGGAUUGUCGAUUUGUUUUUAUUUUGAGGCCAGGCACAAUCAUAACACAAACAGGCCACCUGGAAACUUUAGCACAUAUGUAAAAGUGUGGCCCUGGUCUGUGGCUAUUGCAUGCUUGGCAGGAGCAGGGAGAGGUAAAUGACAGUGUAGGCAUUCCUGACCAGGAAGACCCUGGCAGACCUGGGUAGCCCGAGGCAGCCCUGCUGGAAACCACACUGAAUCUGAAAGUGUGAUAUAGGAAGGCUAUCAUCAGCAUAAUAGAUGAGAUAAAAUUUGGUUUCCUCUUUUAUUGGGAUGUUCUCAGAGUACAUUAGGAACACACAAUCAAUG